AGUUUUUGGCUCAAAAUUAGAGUCUCUUAGCAUGAGAUUUUUCAAGAUUCAUGUAUUUAAAUGAUUCUUCAUAUGAAUGUCACGGGGGAAGUAAGUUUUUUCAGACUGCCAAGCUCCCAAUCGUUGAAGUUUCUCUUGAAAAGUAGAUUCCAUUGAUUGUCCUCUCUGUUCUGUAGAGUCAGGAUCACGUGAACUACUCAAUAAAAAAUUGAGGAUUUCUCUUUGUCUAAAGGCAAAUCAGAUCAAUCGAGGGUUUCUCUUUGCACAACUUUCAGAUGAAUUCCAAAUUCUGAAGAGUUUCUACUUUAUCAGCACUUCAACACUUUGUCAAUUUUACUUCAGCCAGAAUCAUCCUCGACAUCUCAUCUCGCUUCAUUGACUCUGUGGUAGGGGGUUCCGAGUACCCAGGGAAGUUGACACGUUAUGUGGCACUUACUUGAAUUAUGGUUGCAAUGGGAGUGUUGAUCUUUGGUUAUGACAUUGGAAUUUCAGGGAGAGUUACUUCUAUGGAUCAUUUUCUCAAACUCUUCUUCCCUUCUCUUUAUCGCAAAGAGGCUCUAGACACCUCCACCAAUCAGUAGUGCAAGUUCAACAGCCAGUUGUUCACCCUUUUCAGCUCUUCUCUAUGUGGCUGCCCUCAUCGCCUCUGGUCUUUAUGAAGUUUUGAUCAGUAUCUUAUGUUGUCUUAAGAAUGCACUGCCUUCAAGAUGGAUUAUCUUUGCAAGUGAUUCUUUGUUUCUUUUAGAUGUCUCGUCUUUAAAAUGUUGAAAUUUAUAAAGAGUUGUCUUCCGGUAGUCCAUUUAUACCUAAAGAGUUGUAUCUCCAAUGUAACCUAGUAUGGUAUGCAACAGGAGGGGUCUCUGUUGUUGCUGCUGCUAAUGUGUGUCAAAAAGUGAUGGGAAUGGAGACAAGUUAAACAUUGUUGCUUCAGCCAUUUGAGCAGCACUGCUGCCUUCAGAUGCUUAGGGAUUUUUCAUUGAAGAUUUAUGACAAGAGAGCUUCAAUUUAUGGUUGGUUCCGGUGAAAAUGAUCAAACUUCCUCUUCUAAAUCCUGAUUAGGGUUCUAAUAAGCAUCUAACUGUAGUUUUUCAAAAGUUUUUUUUGCCUAAUUCAUAGUUACUUUAACAUUUU